rnacentral:rRNA from 1 species
AGAGUUUGAUCCUGGCUCAGAACGAACGCUGGCGGCGUGCCUAACACAUGCAAGUCGAACGUGAAAGUCCUUCGGGGCGAGUAAAGUGGCGCACGGGUGAGUAGCGCGUGGAUAAUCUACCCGAUGAUCUGGGAUAACAUUUCGAAAGGGGUGCUAAUACCGGAUAAGCCCACGGAGUCUUCGGAUUCUGCGGGAAAAGGAGGGGACCUUCGGGCCUUCUGUCAUCGGAUGAGUCCGCGUACCAUUAGCUAGUUGGUGGGGUAAAGGCCUACCAAGGCUACGAUGGUUAGCUGGUCUGAGAGGAUGAUCAGCCACACUGGAACUGAGACACGGUCCAGACCCCUACGGGAGGCAGCAGUGGGGAAUUUUGCGCAAUGGGGGAAACCCUGACGCAGCAACGCCGCGUGAGUGAUGAAGGCCUUCGGGUCGUAAAGCUCUGUCAGAAGGGAAGAAAUGU